CUACGGGAGGCAGCAGUGGGGAAUAUUGGACAAUGGGGGAAACCCUGAUCCAGCAAUGCCGCGUGUGUGAAGAAGGCCUGCGGGUUGUAAAGCACUUUCGGUUGGGAGGACUGCUUCUAGCACUAAUAUUGUUGGAAGUUGACGUUACCUUCAGAAGAAGCACCGGCUAACUCCGUGCCAGCAGCCGCGGUAAUACGGGGGUGCAAGCGUUAAUCGGAAUUACUGGGCGUAAAGCGCGCGUAGGCGGCUAGAUCAGUCGGGUGUGAAAGCCCCGGGCUUAACCUGGGAACUGCAUCCGAUACUGUCUAGCUUGAGUACAGGAGAGGAGAGUGGAAUUCCACAUGUAGCGGUGAAAUGCGUAGAUAUGUGGAGGAACACCAAUGGCGAAGGCAGCUCUCUGGCCUGAUACUGACGCUGAGGUGCGAAAGUGUGGGGAGCAAACAGGAUUAGAUACCCUUGUAGUC
rnacentral:rRNA from 1 species